GCCUGGGUGGCUCAGUCGGUUGAGCGUCUGACUUCAGCUCAGCUCGUGAUCUCACGGUCUGUGAGUUUGAGCCCCGCAUCAGGCU
rnacentral:tRNA from 1 species